UACGUAGGGGGCGAGCGUUGUCCGGAUUUAUUGGGCGUAAAGAGCGUGUAGGCGGCCAGGUAGGUCUGCUGUGAAAACUCGAGGCUCAACCUCGAGACGUCGGCGGAAACCAUCUGGCUAGAGUCCGGAAGGGGAGAGUGGAAUUCCUGGUGUAGCGGUGAAAUGCGCAGAUAUCAGGAAGAACACCUAUGGCGAAGGCAGCUCUCUGGGACGGUACUGACGCUGAGACGCGAAAGCGUGGGGAGCGAACAGG
rnacentral:rRNA from 1 species